rnacentral:rRNA from 1 species
CCUACGGGGGGCAGCAGUGAGGAAUAUUGGUCAAUGGACGAAAGUCUGAACCAGCCAAGUAGCGUGAAGGAUGACUGCCCUCUGGGUUGUAAACUUCUUUUAUAAAGGAAUAAAACGAGGCACGUGUGCCUUUUUGCAUGUACUUUAUGAAUAAGGAUCGGCUAACUCCGUGCCAGCCGCCGCGGUAAUACGGAGGAUCCGAGCGUUAUCCGGAUUUAUUGGGUUUAAAGGGAGCGUAGAUGGGUUGUUAAGUCAGUUGUGAAAGUUUGCGGCUCAACCGUAAAAUUGCAAUUGAUACUGGCAGUCUUGAGUACAGUUGAGGUAGGCGGAAUUCGUGGUGUAGCGGUGAAAUGCUUAGAUAUCACGAAGAACCCCGAUUGCGAAGGCAGCUUACUAAACUGUGACUGACAUUGAUGCUCGAAAGUGUGGGUAUCAAACAGGAUUAGAUACCCUUGUAGUC